rnacentral:rRNA from 1 species
UACGUAGGGAGCAAGCGUUGUCCGGAAUCAUUGGGCGUAAAGCGCGCGUAGGCGGCCCGAUAAGUCCGCUGUGAAAGUCAACGGCUCAACUGUUGGAUGCCGGUGGAUACUGUCGGGCUAGAGUACGGAAGAGGCAAGUGGAAUUCCUGGUGUAGCGGUGGAAUGCGCAGAUAUCAGGAGGAACACCGGUGGCGAAGGCGGGUCUCUGGGCCGAUACUGACGCUGAGGAGCGAAAGCGUGGGGAGCAAACAGG